CUGAGACCAGGAACCAUGGGAAUAGACCCCAUGGAGACAUGACAGCUACACAAUUACAACUACAUUAUGACUUCUUUCUGUGUCUUUCUAUGACUUUCAUUCUUGGGACGAAGAUGGUAAUAAGAAUGGAAUGUCGUGUAAAAACAGAGCUCACUUUCAUGACAGUUGGAAAUUGGUGAUGAAAAUGGAAAAUGGCAGAAAAAAAUUAAUCCUUUCUUCGUGGCAAAAAUUGUGCUGCAAACAACAGCAUGCACCAAAGAUUCGUUCCCUCGCCAUAUUCCAAGUGUGAUUUUUUUGUUUUCCAUGCAGAGGUUGUAUCUUUUCAGAAUGAGAGUCGGGGCAUGCUAAUUGUGGAAAGA